UAUUCCCCACAGAUACAGCUCUCCGGAUUCGGUAACAGCACAUGUUUGGUUAUCGCUGCAAGCCACUGAUCCAACCGCAACACCUUCGAGUGAUUCAACGCGUUUCGGAUGGUCGAUGUCAAGGUUAACUUUAAGUCCAAGCUUACCACUGUUUCCAUUGCCCCAACAAAACACUUCACCUUGUCUCGUAACCAGCGCAGCGUGUUUUGCACCAAGAGAAAUGCUUUGUACAUCAAACAUGGUGGCCGACUCUAAAAGCUGAGGAGAUAAAGCAUCGUUCUGAUUCUUUGAUCCCUCGAUAAGACCCCUUGUAGCUCCCCAUAUCAUUACGUCCUUGAGGACAUUGGAUCUUGCAGUUGGCUGAGUUACAGUGUGAGAGGGAGAAACAUAAAUGCUAAGCUCUGAACCUGUCUGGUCACAGUCCGACCUCCUGGAAUUAUAAUCUGCUUCGUAGUAAGGAGAAACUGGGCCGAGCCCAUCUGAACCAGCUGAUUCCAUGGAGUAGAAACUGUCUGAAGAGCCUGACAACCACAAACACCGUUCCUCAAGUAAUGUGGAUGGACUUGCACAUAAACUGCGUAUCUUCAAGAACAUAACAACACAGACAUCAAGAAACGAUACAAGGCAAGAACAGAGUUUUUUAGUUUACCUGAGUGAAGUCAGGGGUUUCUUCAAGAAGUCCAAGAUUCUGUUUCCUGUGGAUAAACCCCGCAGGGCUAUUGAUACAACUUUGAGCUCCCCUGCUUGUCCUUAGAUUCACAGAAGAUCUAGCAUUGUGGUGCUUCGUUAUCACAGCUCUAAGGCCUUUAAACCAAGAGCCUGGUGCAACAGUUAAAGUCCAUCCGCAUGAGACUUUAACGAAAUCUUGAUCAAUCAACUCCGAAACACAAGUCGGCACGAGCUUUCUCUUGCUGUCCACGUGACCUAACCUUCCUUUAUCUCCAUCUCCCCAAGUAAACAGCUUUCCACAACUCUUGGCUUUGUGAUAUUUCCUGUCGAUGGUGGAUGUUUCCACUAUUGCAGCCGUGUGCCACGGUCCACAAGAAACAGAUACUACCUUCAUUCGCUUCAAAGACUCCACUUCUUUUGGCUUUGUAACACUCUCAAGGCUCCCAUGUCCAAGAACUCCAAAGGUUCCACUACCGUAAGUGUAAAGCUGACCAGAAAAUGUCACAAUCGCUGUGUGCCACGCGCCGCAAGCGACACUGUAAACCCUCAAAGAUCUACCAAAGACAUCAGCUAUUUUCCGAGUUAAGAAUUGUCUUCCUGAUUCUCCAAUAGUUCCACCGUCUAUUCCCCACAGAUACAGCUCUCCGGAUUCGGUAACAGCACAUGUUUGGUUAUCGCUGCAAGCCACUGAUCCAACCGCAACACCUUCGAGUGAUUCAACGCGUUUCGGAUGGUCGAUGUCAAGGUUAACUUUAAGUCCAAGCUUACCACUGUUUCCAUUGCCCCAACAAAACACUUCACCUUGUCUCGUAACCAGCGCAGCGUGUUUUGCACCAAGAGAAAUGCUUUGUACAUCAAACAUGGUGGCC
rnacentral:lncRNA from 1 species